rnacentral:lncRNA from 1 species
CUUGGCCCAUUGGUUGACCAAGGGUUGAUUAAUGCUUCUACACCAAGAGGUCUGGGGUUCGAGUCCCAGAUAUUGCGAUUUAUUAACAAAUUUGCAGAUUAAUGGAGGCAUCAAGAUCACGAAGAAGGAAGUGUAGUCUGUCGUGAAUCUAGUAAGGGUCAGAAAAAAUUGUCAGUUGUAAAAUUGUCUAUGUAACAGUUCUCAUAAUUUGCAAUUAAUAAUAAAUCUAGACGACAAAAAAAAAAA